rnacentral:rRNA from 1 species
UGAGAAAUAUUGCACAAUGGGCGAAAGCCUGAUGCAGCAACGCCGCGUGAGCGAUGAAGGCCUUCGGGUCGUAAAGCUCUUUUCUGGGGGACGAGGAAGGACGGUACCUCAGGAAUAAGUCACGGCUAACUACGUGCCAGCAGCCGCGGUAAUACGUAGGUGGCCAGCGUUAUCCGGAUUUACUGGGCGUAAAGCGCGUGCAGGCGGUUCCGUUAGUCGGACGUGAAAGCUCCUGGCUUAACUGGGAGAGGUCGUUCGAUACUGCGGGGCUUGAGGUCGGGAGAGGGACGUGGAAUUCCCGGUGUAGUGGUGGAAUGCGUAGAUAUCGGGAGGAACACCAGUGGCGAAGGCGACGUCCUAGCCCGCACCUGACGCUUAGACGCGAAAGCGUGGGGAGCGAACGG